rnacentral:rRNA from 1 species
AAUGAACGCUGGCGGCGCGCCUAAUACAUGCAAGUCGAGCGAGAAGACGUAGCAAUACGUUUGUAAAGCGGCGAACGGGUGAGGAAUACAUGGAUAACCUACCCUCGAGUGGGGAAUAACUAGCCGAAAGGUUAGCUAAUACCGCGUACGCUCCUUGGACUUCGGUUCAGGGAGGAAAGCGAUACCGUGGGUAUCGCGCUCUUGGUUGGGCUCAUGUCCUAUCAGCUUGUUGGGAGGUACGGCUCACCAAGGCUUCGACGGGUAGCUGGUCUGAGAGGAUGA